CUCGGUUGAUCUCUGAGAUUUCCAUCUUGGUGUUGCGCAGGUCGUCGCCGUGUCGCCCAGCGGAGACCUGGAGCUCCUCGUACUGCACUGGGCAUGGUGGCCGGAGCACCGGGGCAUGGAGAGCUGUACAGCAGGGAGCUGUGGAGGAUGUUCCCGUGGGGAGGGCUGGCUGCUUACCGCUUCGUAGAGAGCUCUCAGGAAGUUGAUUUCAUCUGCCAGCUGAUCUGCUUUGGCCUGCAGCUCGACCUUGUUCAUAUAAGCACCAUCCACAUCCUAAAGAAAAGGAAAGCAAAGAUUUCUGGUGAAACCACAACCCAAAGGGGCUUCAGGAUGCCAGUGGGACCAUCGCUCUGCUUCCAGAUCUGUUAUUCUUUGGGCUUGUUUUUUAUGUUGCUGUGAUGAAGGUUUGGUUUGGGGAUUAUUUUUACUGUAAUGUUGGACAUUUACCGUGAGCCAGAACAAGGUUCUUGGGCAGAAGGCAAAGCUCUGACUCAUGGGAUGUGACCAGAGACCAAGCUGAAUUGAGCCACAAGAGGCUGGGUGGUUUGCAACAGUGCAGCUCCAUUGGCAUAGAGAAGGUCAUGCCCAUCCUUGGCCAUAGGAACACACAGCCCAUCCUUCUAGACAUGCCACCAUCAUAUCCUGGCCCAGCUGUGAGGUUGUAGAGCCCCAGCUCCCACCAGCUUUGCAUGAACUCUCUACAUGCCCAGGGAAUGUCACUGUCCAUCCCAUAGCUCCCAUUUCACUCACCUUCUUGAGGACGACGAACUCGUUCUCUGCGCCCGUGCGUCGGUUGAUCUCGUCUUCAUAUCUGUUAGGAUAGAAGAGUGAGAGGGUUUGGGUGGGAAUGAAGAGCAAAGCCAGCAUGGGAAGCAGCAAUGGGACCACUCCAGUCCCAAAGCAUUAGCUGUAGCUCACAGACAUAUUCCUUACUCCCACCUCUUUGCAGUCCAAGGCAGAUGCAAAUGAUUACUGACUUUGAACCUGCAAGACUCCAUCAUAUGAAUAGUCCCAGCUAAAAUGAAUAGAUUCUAAUCACUGCCCUUACAGUCAAGUUCAUACAUAAAUGUGGGCAGAUUCAGAGCCCAUUUCGGUAGGAAGCAGGAGCAGGAUUCUUGGUGACCUUUGCCGAAAGCAAAGUUGUGCAAAAGGCUUUCAACAAAGCUGCUUUGCAAUGCCUACAAAUAUAUAAUAAUGUAAUGAUUUGAUAUUUGAUAUUAUAAUAAUGCUAAUGGCUCUGAAUAACCCGCUGCAGCAUUUAAUUAAAGAGAAAAGCCUCUGAUUCUGUAGCCGUGGUUGUGCAAGAGCAGAUCCUCAAGCCCCAGACUGUUUCUGUGGAACUUUUUAUGGCUCUGAGCAACAUCCUCUCAUCAGAUAAUCAGGGCAGGGCAGCUAGAACGUAGACAAAACAUGUAGGCUCUUGAGGCAAAGACCUGGAUUUUAAAGGCAGGUUCAUGCCAGUUCUUCUAGCGUUGGCAGAGAUAUCCCUGCAGACGGAUCUCCAAGCGGACAUGGGAAGAAGAGGAAAUUAGCCAGAGAACUGGGAACAAACUCUGGGUCUGAAAUCAAACGUGUUCUCUUUUCCAGGCAGUAGCUCCAAAAUUGAGACAACUUCAUUUGUUGUUUUUGGCCUGAUCAAUAUUUCUAAAAACCUAUGAUACAUCUGAAGACCUGAGGGGCACCGAGGUACAACAUAUUAGAAGCUAUGUCAGUCCAUCCUGUCAGCUCUAAAUGUCCUCUCCUUGUAUUCCCCCCCCCAAAAAUCUGUCUCUUUAUAUGCUUAACUAUCUAAUACAAGCACAUUCCAGGUCUCCAGGGUGUUUUUCUCUAUUUGCACUUGGCCAGGUCUGGUUGAAUAAGGGGGAGGUUGUUCUCACCAGACUGCAGCCAACUGAAGAUGAGUGUCCUCACCUAAAAAAACCACCUAAAUGUCCCUUGUAGUCAGCAGAUGCCAACUGGCACAUCCUUAAAAUGAGUCAUCCCACCUCUGCUGGGGUGAUCAUCCCUUAUCUCAGGAUGGGAUUAAUUUCCCUCCAGGGAAAAUCAUUUUCUUUGACAGUAGUCAGAGAAAAGAGCUGAGCAUCUUUCACGUGAUGAGUGCUGAGCAUGCACAAGUUGCCUGGUGCCCUCUGGAAAGGCUGGAAUUUCCUUUGGAAGAAGAGAAGUGGGGGGAUUUUGGAGCUGACAGUUUAUGGCUAUGGUUCCUUCCCUUUUUGCGUGUCUAUCAUACUCAUGAGGUAUGCAUUUUUCUGUCUCCAGGUCUAUUAUUUUGGGAGAUUUCUGUUACACUGGAGCAGCUUCCCACGGGUGCAUGAGUUCUGUGCUAAAUGCUGCUCCUGCACCUAAGAAAUCUGGCAUAAGCAAAGAUGUGUGGAGAUUUGCUUCCCUAAUCCUGCAGAUGUGAAUUGGCACAUGUGUGCUGCAUCUUGUGGACGGGGGCCAGGCAGAGAGCCUGCCUUUGACUUCCAAAGAGCUAUGCAAAGUCACACCUGGGAACCAGCGCACAGGCUGCAAGGGUUUUAAUUAAAGCAAAGAGAAAGGCUUCGUGUUGAAGGCAGUCAUUACCUCCCCAGCUCUUCUAGGAAAGCCUGUUGCUGCAGACAAUGCUUCCUGUAAGUUGCAAUCUCGAUGUCCAGGGCUAGCUUGACGUUCAUGAGCUCCUGGUACUCACGGAGCUGCCGGGCCAUGUCAGCUUUAGCUUUCUGCAGAGCAUCUUCCAGGUCAAUCAUCUUUGCCUUGGCAUCUUUGAGGGCCAGCUCCCCACGCUCCUCAGAGUCUCCAAUUGCUGUCUGCAGGGUGGCACACUGCAAGAGAAGGGAUUGGGACUCCUAAACGCUGCUUUUCU